UACGGGGGGGGCAAGCGUUGUUCGGAAUUACUGGGCGUAAAGGGCUCGUAGGCGGCCAACUAAGUCAGACGUGAAAUCCCUCGGCUUAACCGGGGAACUGCGUCUGAUACUGGCAGGCUUGAAUUCGGGAGAGGGAUGCGGAAUUCCAGGUGUAGCGGUGAAAUGCGUAGAUAUCUGGAGGAACACCGGUGGCGAAGGCGGCAUCCUGGACCGACAUUGACGCUGAGGCGCGAAAGCCAGGGGAGCAAACAGG
rnacentral:rRNA from 1 species